rnacentral:rRNA from 1 species
GACGAACCGUGCGAACGUUAUUCGGAUUCACUGGGCUUAAAGGGCGCGUAGGCGGCUCGGCAAGUCGGGAGUGAAAGCCCGGGGCUCAACCCCGGAACGGCUCUCGAAACUGCCGGGCUCGAGUGCGGAAGAGGCAACCGGAAUUCCCAGUGUAGCGGUGAAAUGCGUAGAUAUUGGGAAGAACACCUGAGGCGAAGGCGGGCUGCUGGGCCGACACUGACGCUGAUGCGCGAAAGCCAGGGGAGCGAACGGG